rnacentral:rRNA from 1 species
AUGGUGUUGUGGAUGCAAGGCGUCGUCGCCGAGGAGCUCAUGGACGUCGUGGCGUCCCCGGACAGCACCACCUAUGACAUCUGGACCCAGCUCCACGUCCUCUUCAUGGACAAUCAGCCGGGCCGCGCCGUCAUCCUCGGCGCCGAGUUCCAGAACCUCGUCCAGGGCGACCUCUCCGUCGCCGAAUACAGCCGAAGGCUCAAGUCCCUGGCCGACGCUCUCGAGGACAUCGGCGAGCACAUCUCCGAUCAGGCCCUCACGCUCCAGCUCAUCCGCGGCCUCAACCGCAAGUUUCAGAUCAUGGCGACGCUCCUCUCGAUGCAGUCGCCGUUCCCCUCCUUCGUGCAGGCCCGCUCUCGCCUCCUCAUGGAGGAGAUCUCUGCCAACGAGCGGGCUCGACUGGACAGCCGUCCGGAACUCCCAGCCACUGCGCUCACCAUCGGGCACGGGCCGAGUGGUGGCUCCUCUCCCUCCCCUGAUUGCGGAUCAGGCAGCGACUCCGUCAACAAGGGCAAGGGCGCCGCUGCAUCUCCCACGGGCGACAGGGGCAGUGGCUCGCGCGGGCGUGGGCGCGGUCGUGGUCGCGGCCGCGGCGGCCAAUUGUCUGGUGGCGCUCCCGCUGGGCGCGGCGCCGCUCCGGCCGGGCCGCAGCCCCCGACUGGCUUCUUCGCUCCAUACGGCGCCCUCCUCCCCGGCCUGCCUGCACCACGGGCCCCUUGGGCUGCGCCGAACGCCGCCGGCGUCCUAGGCCCACGUCCUCCUGCACCGCAUCAGGCCUACUCCGUGCCCUCGACGUCUUCAAGCAGGCCUACCUGGGAGCAGUAUAAUCAGCUGUACGCUGCUCUCCAGGGCCUCUCCAUGCUGCAGCAGCACGUCGGCGGCACGCCGGACUGGUUCCUCGACACGGGCGCUACGUCGCACGUCGCUAGUAAGACGGACCUCCUCACCUCGUAUGGUUCUCCCCCAUUGCGUCAUUCCUCUGGCAUCUUAGUAGGCAACGGUUCUCGUCUCCCCAUUACAGCCGUAGGUUCUACCUCUCUUUCAACUUUUGCACUGAAUGACGUCCUUAUAUCUCCUACCAUCAUCAAGAACUUAAUUUCUAUACGUCGUUUCACUCAAGAUAAUUUUUGCUUAAUCACGUUUGACCCAUUCGGUUUUUCCAUGAAGGACCUAGCCACGGGGAAGCUAAUCAUGAGGUCCAAUAGCCAUGGGGACCUCUAUCCUUUUUUCAACAACUCCGGCGUUCAAGCAGUGCUCUCCGUCGCCACAGAUGACAUAUGGCAUCUUCGUUAG